rnacentral:rRNA from 1 species
UACGGAGGGUGCAAGCGUUAUCCGGAUUCACUGGGUUUAAAGGGUGCGUAGGCGGACAGGUAAGUCAGUGGUGAAAUCUCUGGGCUUAACCCAGAAACUGCCGUUGAUACUAUUUGUCUUGAAUAUCCUGGAGGUAGGCGGAAUAUGUCAUGUAGCGGUGAAAUGCUUAGAUAUGACAUAGAACACCGAUAGCGAAGGCAGCUUACUACAGGAUGAUUGACGCUGAGGCACGAAAGCGCGGGGAGCAAACAGG